GUGCUUGGGCGAGAGUAGUACAUAGGAUGGGUGACCCCCUGGGAAGUCCUCGUGUUGCACCCCCCCCCUUUUUGCAUUUUUUUUGCAUUUUUGGGAGAAGGUGACGAGAGGAAACGCGCGUACGAAUGAACAUGGCUUACAAAAUCCGAGAAUAGUAACGUUCGGCAAUAUAGGUGUAAAAAAGAAAAAGGCCCC
rnacentral:rRNA from 1 species